GGCAGUAGCAGCUCAGUGGUUAAGAUGUUGGACUUCUGAUCAGAAGGUUGUGAGUUCUAGUCCCAGCACUGCUG